GUUGUAUAGUCAAGUAAUUAAGUGCAUGUGGUGGAUGCCUUGGCAGUCAGAGGCGAUGAAAGACGUGAUAGCCUGCGAAAAGCUCCGGGGAGGCGGCAAAUAUCCUUUGAUCCGGAGAUGUCUGAAUGGGGGAACCCACCUACUUUAAGGUAGGUAUUGCAACAUGAAUACAUAGUGUUGCAAGGCGAACGAGGGGAAGUGAAACAUCUCAGUACCCUUAGGAAAAGAAAUCAAUUGAGAUUCCCUCAGUAGCGGCGAGCGAACGGGGAUCAGCCCAUUAAGUUAUGUGUGUUUUAGUGGAACGCUCUGGGAAGUGCGAACGUAGAGGGUGAUAUUCCCGUACACGAAAGGGCACACAUAAUGAUGACGAGUAGGGCGAGGCACGUGAAACCUUGUCUGAAUAUGGGGGGACCAUCCUCCAAGGCUAAAUACUCCUGACUGACCGAUAGUGAACCAGUACCGUGAGGGAAAGGCGAAAAGAACCCCUGUGAGGGGAGUGAAAUAGAUCCUGAAACCGCAUGCAUACAAGCAGUGGGAGCACCUUCGUGGUGUGACUGCGUACCUUUUGUAUAAUGGGUCAGCGACUUAUAUUCAGUAGCGAGGUUAACCGUAUAGGGGAGCCGUAGAGAAAUCGAGUCUUAAUAGGGCGUUUAGUUGCUGGGUAUAGACCCGAAACCAGGCGAUCUAUCCAUGAGCAGGUUGAAGGUUGGGUAACACUAACUGGAGGACCGAACCCACUGUCGUUGAAAAGCCAGGGGAUGACUUGUGGAUAGGGGUGAAAGGCUAAUCAAGCCUGGUGAUAGCUGGUUCUCCCCGAAAGCUAUUUAGGUAGCGCCUCGGACGAAUACCAUAGGGGGUAGAGCACUGUUUCGGCUAGGGGGUCAUCCCGACUUACCAAACCGAUGCAAACUCCGAAUACCUAUGAGUACUAUCCGGGAGACAGACUGCGGGUGCUAACGUCCGUAGUCAAGAGGAAAACAAUCCAGACCGCCAGCUAAGGCCCCAAAAUCAUAGUUAAGUGGGAAACGAUGUGGGAAGGCAUAGACAGCUAGGAGGUUGGCUUAGAAGCAGCCACCCUUUAA
rnacentral:rRNA from 1 species